rnacentral:piRNA from 1 species
UGUUUUACGGGAACACUUCAUUACCAUGA